rnacentral:rRNA from 1 species
AUUGAACGCUGGCGGCAGGCUUAACACAUGCAAGUCGGGCGGUAACAGGAGAAGCUUGCUUCUCGCUGACGAGCGGCGGACGGGUGAGUAAUACUUAGGAAUCUACCUAGUAGUGGGGGAUAGCUCGGGGAAACUCGAAUUAAUACCGCAUACGACCUACGGGAGAAAGGGGGCAACUUGUUGCUCUCGCUAUUAGAUGAGCCUAAGUCGGAUUAGCUAGAUGGUGGGGUAAAGGCCUACCAUGGCGACGAUCUGUAGCUGGUCUGAGAGGAUGGUCAGCCCCACCGGGACUGAGACACGGCCCGGACGCCUACGGGAGGCAGCAGUGGGGAAUAUUGGACAAUGGGGGCAACCCUGAUCCAGCCAUGCCGCGUGUGUGAAGAAGGCCUUUUGGUUGUAAAGCACUUUAAGCAGUGAAGAAGACUCUAGGGUUAAUACCCUUAGACGAUGACAUUAGCUGCAGAAUAAGCACCGGCUAACUCUGUGCCAGCCGCCGCCGUAA